GAUGAACGCUAGCGGCAGGCCUAAUACAUGCAAGUCGAGGGGCAGCACGGGUAGCAAUACUGGGUGGCGACCGGCGCACGGGUGCGUAACACGUAUACAAUCUGCCUAUAACUGGAGAAUAGCCCGGAGAAAUUCGGAUUAAUACUCCAUAAUGUAAUUAAGAGGCAUCUUUUGAUUAUUAAAGUUCCGACGGUUAUAGAUGAGUAUGCGGAUGAUUAGCUAGUAGGUGAGGUAACGGCUCACCUAGGCAACGAUCAAUAGGGGUACUGAGAGGUUAAACCCCCACACUGGUACUGAGACACGGACCAGACUCCUACGGGAGGCAGCAGUAAGGAAUAUUGGACAAUGGUGGCAACACUGAUCCAGCCAUGCCGCGUGCAGGAUGAAGGCGCUACGCGUUGUAAACUGCUUUUGUACCAGAGAAAACCUAUCUACGUGUAGAUAGCUGAUAGUAUGGUAAGAAUAAGCAUCGGCUAACUUCGUGCCAGCAGCCGCGGUAAUACGAAGGAUGCAAGCGUUAUCCGGAUUUAUUGGGUUUAAAGGGAGCGUAGGCGGACUUAUAAGUCAGUGGUGAAAUCUCGUUGCUUAACAACGAACGUGCCAUUGAUACUGUAGGUCUUGAGUACAGAUGCCGUUGGCGGAAUGUGUCAUGUAGCGGUGAAAUGCAUAGAUAUGACACAGAACACCGAUUGCGAAGGCAGCUGACGAAACUGUAACUGACGCUGAGGCUCGAAAGCGUGGGGAUCAAACAGGAUUAGAUACCCUGGUAGUCCACGCCCUAAACUAUGAUUACUAGCUGUCGGCGAUAUACAGCCGGUAGCCAAGCGAAAGCGAUAAGUAAUCCACCUGGGGAGUACGCCCGCAAGGGUGAAACUCAAAGGAAUUGACGGGGGCCCGCACAAGCGGAGGAGCAUGUGGUUUAAUUCGAUGAUACGCGAGGAACCUUACCCGGGCUUGAAAGUUAGUGACCGGUGGUGAAAGCCACUUUUCAGCAAUGACACGAAACUAGGUGCUGCAUGGCUGUCGUCAGCUCGUGCCGUGAGGUGUUGGGUUAAGUCCCGCAACGAGCGCAACCCCUACUUCUAGUUGCCAGCAUGUAAUGAUGGGGACUCUAGAGGAACUGCCCGCGCAAGCGGUGAGGAAGGUGGGGACGACGUCAAGUCAUCACGGCCCUUACGUCCGGGGCUACACACGUGCUACAAUGCUUACUACAGAGGGCAGCUACACAGUAAUGUGAUGCCAAUCCAUCAAAAGUAAGCUCAGUUCGGAUUGAGGUCUGCAACUCGACCUCAUGAAGCUGGAUUCGCUAGUAAUCGCGCAUCAGCAAUGGCGCGGUGAAUACGUUCCCGGGCCU
rnacentral:rRNA from 1 species